AGCGGAGCGGGGAAAAGGUGACUCGGCCGCAUUUCCAGCAUUAAAAUUUAAUGCGGGCUGCAGCAUCCUCCUGCGCCGUAGGUAGGGCCGGGGGGGGCCGGGGGCUGCUGGAGGAGGAGUUUGCUCGGCCGCCUCUUCCUCAGGGAUGCUCUGGGAAAGCUCCAGCACAAAGGAGCGGCGCGGAGUGCAGGAGCGAGCAGAACCGGCGCCCCCAACCCCAGCCCGGCCCCCCGGGAGCAGAAUCCUCAUCAAGAAUAGGGCUCCUGCCAGGUAAAUGGAUUCUUGCCUGAUUUUCAAUGCUCCUGGGAGGAUUUGUAGCCAGAAUGCCGUUUUACGGCUCUGUCUCGAAGCCCCCAUUUUCUCCUAAAGCUGCUCCUAAAGAUCCUAGGCGGGGGUUAGAGGCGAGGCGGGGGCCAGCAGCCCCAGGGCACAGCACAGCCCUUCCUUCCCCUCGGCGUUAACCUGGCAGAUGCUCUUCUGGUGGAGCCAUUUUCUCUCCCUCAUUGUCUCGCAGCUUUUUGUGCGUUCGGGUAGGUCCUGCCCGGGGAGCCAGGAGGAGCCUAGAAAUAAUCAGAUUUUCAGGCGUUGUGGGCUUGCGAGGAGCCUUUCACACCUCACCCCCGCCCCCCUUCUGCCGGGCUGCCCAGCCCCAGAGCUGCAGACAAAGGCAGCAGUGCCUGGCACCACUGCUGCAGCACCGGAGCAUGGGCUGUGCCGGAGCAUGGGCUGUGCCGGAGCCUGGGCUCGGCUGGAUGGCAGCGAGGGUCGGGCAGCGCUGGCAGGGCACAGGGCCGGGGUGUCUGGAGACCCCGCUGGGAUCUGGGGGUUCAGGGUGCCUGGAUGAUCCUAGAGAUCAUCUCCGUGCCUGCUGUGCCCUCAUCUCCCUGCCCCUGCCUGCAGUGCAGCUUGCGCUCCUCUCCCUCCCUCCCUCCCCACUCGAGGAGGGGGUUUAGCCCCCAUUUAGUUCGGGUUCCCAGCCCCCCAGGGCCACUCUGUGUGCCACCCACGCGUGCGGCACGGGCAGCUCAAGCUCACGCCCAAGGCGAGUGUUUAGGUGAGUCCUGUCUGCACAAAAUCGUUCCUCCCUCGCUGUCUCCAGGGAUGUGCUCCGUUCCCAGGCCGGAGAGGACAUCCUGCCACCCUCAUGUCCCUCCUGCCCCACCACAGGCACCUCCUGCUCGGCUCCAGGCAGGGGACCAUUUGCCGUUUGCCAGAUGCUCAGUGGCAUCUCCGCAGCUCAUUGCCGCUGCUCGGCCGUGCCGCAGCUGGCUUGCAAAUGUCCCCGCGGGAGGGACUGUCCUGCCUGCGGCGUGUGGUGACAAUGACUCUGCUGAACUGCGGAGUCCUCACGGCUCCCCCGGGACCUGCUGCCCUCCUGCUUCGCCCAGGGCAGGGCAGGAACAGGGCAGGGCAGGAACAGGGCAGGGCACAGACAUGGGCUGGCUGCUGGCACCGGCCACGUGUCCCCAAAUCCCCGAGGAGACGGAGCAGCACCCACCGCGGCGCGGCUGUGACCGCCAUCGCCCCGGUUUAACCAGUGCCCGUGGAACCGCAGGGUCCCAGCGACACAGCUUGGCCACAUGGCCGGGGCGGAGGUGGCAGCAGAAGUGGCAGUGGCAGUGACAAUCGUCCCCUGCCCCAAGUGCGGGGGUUCCAGCCAUGGGUAGGGACAGUUUGGGGCAUUGACACCAUCUCCGCUGUGGUGGUUCUGAUGCCCCCCUGUGCCUGGUUCAGCUCCUCCACUCUGCGAGGGGACAGGGACAGGAAGGUCCGUGCCCGACGCUCCUGCCAGGCUCCUGCCAGCUUGGCUGGGCUGUGCCUGAGCACGGCGCCCUGUUUCUCUCCCUUUGCUGCGUUGGUUGUUUCUUUUGCAGCCGCUAAUGACUGACCUGAGGUCUGUUCACACAGUCCCCUCGCUGCCUCCAUGGCACAGAGCCCCGUGGAACAGGGGACACUGCACAGCACUCUCAAAGCUGGCCAUCACAGUGCCAGGGGCUCCUGCCUGGCCGGACUGACCAUGUCCAGAGGGCAGCCGGGCUCAGGACCUACCAUCACGACCAGCACAUGAUGCCAGAGCCGGGCUGGCCCCAGCAGAGCACCCCGGUACCCACUGCCGUGGUGUGGAGCCACGAGCCCGGCCACUGCGGGGGACACGGCCCAGGAGACUGCGGUGGUGACACCCGAGGACACGGGGCUGCUGGCGCACGCGGUUUUCCUGCAAGGUGCUGGGCUGUCCUUGCAUCCCGCUGCUUCCCACCAGGCCUCUCCCCUUCCCUGAGUGCAGUGUAGGAGGAGGGAGAAGGAAAAGGAAGUGGGGCAGAGCUGUGCCGGCUCCUCAUGGUGACACCACGGCCGAAGGGACUCUGUUUGUCCCCACUGAUCCCUCCCUGCCCUCUGGCUGUUGGAGAAGUCCUGGUGCUUUCAGCUCUGGAGGUGCCAUGUCUUGGCAGGAUCCUGCCUCUGCUCCCCUUGGAGGAACACCUGGUUUGUGGAGCAUCCUGGAGCCUGGGGAGGAACACGGGCAGUGAACCCUCCUCCCGUGGCCUCUGCAGUGGCCCCGUCAGCGGGUGGGACCAUGUCCUCCCCAGGCAGCCACUCGGGCCCGUGUCCCCACGCAGACAGAGGGCAGGGGUGCAGUGGGCUGGGGGCAGACACAGCUCAUGGCAGGGGUUACGGCCUUGACGUCCAAACUGGAAAAGCGUCCUCCUGGGGACCAGAGGAGCUCGUGCCGUGGGAGGAGGUGACCCAAAGGGACAUGGGGUGGAGGCUUUCCUGGGUGCUCUGUCCCAGCCCUGUUUCUCAGGGCACUAUUCCUGCAGCCCUUGGAGCACUGCUCAGUCCCAUGGAGAGGCAGUUUUUGAUGGGGAAGGGGAAAGCUGUGGGCCACCUUUCUUCUGCUCCGUGGUGGUUUUCCCUGCUGGACCUCCUCCUGCUGUACAUGCAGUGGGAGCAGACCUGGAGCAGCUGUUGUGGUCUCUGCUGGAGCCUUUUCCCAGACACUGCCAGUGAUUUUUUCACCCCCUUCUUUGCUUCUUCCAGCUCCUUUAGAGUCCUUCAGGCACUGCUAGCACUGUGUCCUCCAUACAUCCUGUCUCUCACUUUUCCCAGUCCCAGGGGUGGGAAGUGCAUGCUGUGAGGGGACACUGCUGAGGCCUUUGGUAACUCCCUGGCAGGGAUCGGGGGGGCAGAUGCCCGCUGAGCAUUUCAUUCAGAGCCAGGUUCUGUCACACCGGCUAAACCCUCCUCUAACACCUUCCCAAAUGUCAAAGCCCGAAAACGCCUCCUGCUCUCGUGAGCCAGAGCCCUGCUGCUGGCGGGCCCGGCUCUGCAUGCUGCCAAUAUUAACCUACUAACCUGCUGGGACCCCUGUGCCCUCCCCGGGGCUGCCACGGCCCCUGGCACACGGACUAACCACUAACCAGCACAGCGCAUGCCCUACUAACCCACGGCGGCCCUGCCUCGUGCCCACUAACCACGGCAGCAGCGCUGCCUUUAAAGGGGAACAGAAAAGCUGGAAAAGAGGUUUGGAAGUGCCAGGUGUCGGUGUCAGGCUGCACAGGCAGGGACAGGCAGGGACAGGCCUGGCUGUGGGCAAGAGUGGUGAGAGGACAGCUCCUGUCCUGGGCAGGAGAGGGGAUGAGCAGUCCCUGUCCUGGGUAAGAGGGGGGAUGAGCAGUCCCCGUCCUGAGCAGGAGAGGGGAUGAGCAGUCCCUGUCCCGGGCAGGAGAGGGGAUGAGCAGUCCCUGUCCUGGGCAGGAGAGGGGAUGAGCAGUCCCUGUCCUGGGUAAGAGGGGGGAUGAGCAGUCCCUGUCCUGGGCAGGAGAGGGGAUGAGCAGUCCCUGUCCAGGGCAGGAGAGGGGAUGAGCAGUCCCUGUCCUGGGCAGGAACGGGGAUGAGCAGUCCCUGUCCUGGGCAGGAGAGAGGAUGAGCAGUCCCUGUCCUGGGCAGGAGAGAGGAUGAGCAGUCCCUGUCCUGGGCAGGAGAGGGGAUGAGCAGUCCCCGUCCUGGGCAGGAGAGGGGAUGAGCAGUCCCUGUCCCGGGCAGGAAUGGGGAUGAGCAGUCCCUGUCCUAAGCAGGAGAGGGGAUGAGCAGUCCCUGUCCCGGGCAGGAGAGGGGAUGAGCAGUCCCUGUCCUGGGCAGGAGAGGGGAUGAGCAGUCCCUGUCCUGGGCAGGAGAGAGGAUGAGCAGUCCCUGUCCCGGGCAGGAGAGGGGAUGAGCAGUCCCUGUCCUGGGCAGGAGGGGGGAUGAGCAGUCCCUGUCCUGGGCAGCCCUAGGAGAGGGUUUCUCCCCACACACCCUGCCCAGCCCUGCCUGUGGAGCCUGUUGCUGACUAGGAGCCUAAAACGGUUUUAUCAGCAGAAGCUUUUCAGUUCCUUUUUAAGCCAGCAGAUCUCUGUUACUAACACAUUCCUGAACUGAAUUAAACAAACUAACCAUUGCUGCUUUUCUCUUCAUUUCUCUUCCAGUGCGUGUGUCCUCUAAGGCAGACCGGUGCCCUGCUUCUGUUACUAACCCGUACUUCUGUUCCCACUGUACUAAUCCUCCCUGACUCUUUCUCUCUUGCUACUAACAACUCUCUUUGCACUUUGCCUCUCGGCUGCUGUUUGCCAUGACAAGUGACGGUGGCUCCUCCUGGACUUACUCACCUGCAGCACCCGAUUUUCCGUGCUGCCGAGCAUCCCUGGCUCCCGUUUGGUACCAUGGGAAAGAAGUUGCUCAAGCUCGGGCGCUUUGAAUCUUUCUCUCCUGGCCCGUUUUCCAACAAAUUUCACGUGGCACGAUGAGGAAAAGAGGCUGAGUGGCAACAGGACGGUACAAAGCCGUUAAUCAUGACCAGCAAUGGCUGUAGAGGCCCAGCAAACCCCGUUUGUAAAGGGAUUCAACCACAGAGCCUGAGCUUGGGGCUCUCCUGAGGCCUCAGGUCACCUGUCAUGGGGAAUGUUCUCCUGCUGCUCACAGCAUUGGUGCUCCUGGGCUCCUCUCUCCACCCCCUUUGUCUCUCCACAGUUUAUCUUGUGCCUGGUGCAUGUGGAAGCCGCUGCUGGCCCUGACUAACUCAGCUCCGUGUCACCGCCGGGUCGGCACCUGCAGGGUGGGCACUGGGUGUCACAGGGGGCUCUGCCAUCAGGUGGUGGGGCCACAGCCUGGCCCUUGCUUUCUGUGAAUGUCCCCGGCCCCUGCAGGGAUCCUGCCAGGGUGAAGGAUCCAGGCCCUGCCCGCUGGUGUGCGUUUGGCACGUGGCAGGGCACCGACACCGCUCAGGGCUGCCGUGGCCAGCGGGACAGAGCCAAGGCCUGUGUGCCAGCAGAGGAUGGUGGCCCUGCGCUGCUGGCAGGGACAGGCUGGCUCGUGAGGACAUCCCAGGCUGUGGCUGCUGGGGGGACACGGCACCCCUCAAACCAGGGCUCACGGCGGCUCUGUCACGGGGGGCAGAUGCACACAGGGCCCAGCUCUGGCUGCUCUCUCUUGGCUUUGCCUUGUGCUCACUGCUCCCAUGUCCAGGGCUUCCCCACACCCCCUGCUGCCGCCGGCUGAUGUCACUGUCACCCCAGGGCAGCUCCUGCCCUGCACUGGAAGGCAGAGCCAGAUGGAGUCUCCUGGGUGGCCCCAUGGCACUGCCACCUCCCCUGGCCAUCCCUGCUGUGCACUGAGCCCAGCCUGCUCCUUUAGCUGGGGGUCUCUCUCAGGCUGAUGGGGGUCCCUUCCCCACCCAGCUCCGUGUCUGUCCAAGCUCCACCUGAUCCCACUGAUCCCCCAACGGCCCUCUCUCCGCACGGCUGGCACUGGGAUGGGUUUUUGAGUUGAUGCUCCUGUGUUCGAUGGAAGGGGGAGACAGGUCCCUGCUGUGGGCAGGGUGGGGAGCACAGGGAGCACAGGGAGCACAGGGAAUACAGGGACAAGAGGACAAGCCAGGUCGGGCCCAGGGUGGGCGGGUUCAGGGCUCCUACACAGGACAGGAGCACCACAAGCGCUGGGCUGGAGUUGUCAGAGGCCAGCACUGUGAGGGACUCUCCUCCCUGCCCCACAGAGGCCCCUUUCUGCUCCAAAGAGUCACCUCGAUGGCCCAGAGGAUGCAGCUGGCAAGUGUCACCCUGCACAGGCCCCUCGGUGGGGACAGGCCACCAGCGCCCGUGGGUGUCUCCUCCCCGCUCAGAGCAGGGCAGGAGGGCAGAGAGGCCCCACCAAGCAAGCAGGCUGCUCCUUUGCUCUGCUCCUGCCCCUCAGGGCUCCCUGUCCCUGCUCCCCAGUUCCCGUGGCCGGCAGGAGUUGAUCCCUCUGUCUGUCCAUCCCUCUUUGCUGGUGUCCCCAGAGCUGUCUGGAGAGGGGCACCAUGUGCAGACCCCCCUUCAGCUGUGGCGGUGGACGUGGGGGCACCCCAGCAGUGACACCGGCAGAGGUCCAGCCCUGGGUGCACUGUCCUGCCCAGGGCGCUGCUGCCCAAGCUGCUCAGGGCUGCCCCUGCUCUGUGGGCACAGCCACGGUGGGGCUGGGCACUGCCCAGGGGUCCUGUAAGUCACCACAGACCCCGAGGAUGACCCCACAGCCCCACUGCCUGUAAUAUCUACUGUGAACAUGGCAAGUGUGCAACCA